rnacentral:tRNA from 1 species
GGCGCAGUGGCGAAACUUGGCAACCGCGUGCGCUUUGGAAGCGCAUGACCUGGCAGGGUUUUGCGGGUUCAAAUCCCGCCUGCGCCA